GGAUGUGAGGGUGAUCUGACUGCAGCAUCUAUCACCCCAUUGAUCUCCAGGGUUGAUUUGUAUGAUCUGGCUUGCUAGGCAGCUUUCCCCUUCCUCCCUCCCAAAGCUCCAGGCUUCAUAGAAGAGGACUACCUUCUCUGAAUAGAGGAUUAGAGGAGGGGCAUCUUUGGUCAAGGAUAUACAAGUAGCUGCACUCCCCUGCUAGAGCGUCCAAACAAGCUCUCAAAAAAAAAAACACAUAGUUUUAUGUACAUUCUUACACACCUGUGCUUUUUGGUUUAUUUGAGACAAGGUUUUGC
rfam:Cricetulus griseus cell line CHO-K1, whole genome shotgun sequence.